GUUAGUUGAAAUGGAAGAAGAUAUACCUCAACAUCAGCCUUUUCAUACAGUUUCCUUUCAGCACUUGGUCAAGAGGAGGGGCAGUAAAUUUCUGAGUGGGAGUACCAUUCAGAAACAAUCAUUUCUGCCUGCUGUCUUACAGCCCUCACGCACAAAAGGGACCAGGACCAGAAAGGCCAGCUUCUUCCUCCUCUUUUCUGGGUCAGCUUUCUCCACCUGCCACCCUGCGUGGCAUAGACACAGAAAUCAUCCUGUUGUGAGGUUUUAAUGCAAAACAUAGUUCCCUUCUUACCGUAGAGAUGAGCAAUGAGCAAGUGAUUUAUUCCACCCUGAGAUUUCUUCGGUCUCCUUCAGAGUCACCAAAUAGAUUAAGGCCAGGUGGGACUCAAAGGCCUGGGAAAACUGAUGAUACAGGGUUUUCAGUGCCCUGGCAUCUCAUUUCAGUGAUUCUUGGGAUCCUGUGUUUACUAUUAUUGGUGACAGUCGCCCUACUGGGUACAAAGAGUGAGUAAUUAAAAUACAUGCUUCAAGUCUGAGUAACAGCAGUGACCGCUAGUUGAACAGAUACUAACUGCGCUCCAUUAACUGCUCCCUGGCCAUCAUCGGGGAAUGUCCCAGACAUGUCACAGUGUCAUUUUCAUUUUACUCACCUAUUCCGAUUACUCUGCAGUUUAAUGAGCUGUCCUGUUCUGUACAAUUCAUGAUUGCAUUCCUUCAGGUACAGGACCUAGUCAUAUCAUGCCUUCUGAGCUUAAUCAUUGUGAAUUUAGAUACACAUUCUUCGAGAAACAUUGUUCAAAAGAAAUUAUGACUUUCUCUUGAUUUUUUCCCAAGCAUGUAAUGAAGAUAAAGAUUCGUAAAAAUACUGAUUUUAUACAUGAACAUUAGGUGAUCUCAAUUUCAACUUUUAUCUUUUAUUUGCAUUUCUCGACAUCUUUAGAGAAAAUCACUACCAUGUGGCACCCAGAUAAAUGUACAUAUUUAUGUCUUCCUCUCUUUUCUCCUGUGGGUAUUCCAGGUGCUCCAAUAACAAUGAUGCUGUUACUUCAUGUUUCUUAGUGCAGCUUUUCAUGAUCAGAAGAUGUGUUGCUAAGUGUUGACUCGUUUUUUCUCUAGUACCUAUUUAAAAUUAUGUGGUAACUGUUAAAAAGAAACUGAACUGAAUGGUAAGGUGUUACCAUCAUAAUUUUAUUCAGAUGUCUGAUUGUAUUUAUUCUACACGGAAGUUGCUAAUAGCAGGAAGUUUGAUGUUUCCAUUUGUAUGGUCAGUUUAUUGAGGUGUUACUUUCUAAAUGUCACAUUAUCCAUUUAAAGUAAUGAAAUGGGUUGGUUGUCAAAGUGAGACUUUUUCUUUUGUCUUAAAUUUUAACAUUCAGGCAUUGUGAGUACUUUUGUAUUAUACCUAUGCUAUU